AUAAUAAGGUAGACUGGGUCCUGGGGAAGACGUGCUGCUUCAGGUCUGAUCAAGCAGAGACAGGAGCAACAUCUCCAGGCAGGCCCAUGCUAACUCUGGAAGCUGGGUCAAGAGAAAACUGAUAUGUGUCCGUCAAGUUUGGUUAACCCGGCACAAAUUACCGUCACCGAGGAAGAGGAAACCUCAAAUGAGGAACUUGCUCCCAGCAGAUUGGCCUAUGAACACUGAUUGGUGAUUGAUGUGGGAGGGCCCUGUCCACCGUGGGCUGGGCCACUCUUUCGCAGGUGAUCCUGGGAUGUCGGAAUGCAGGCUGAGAGGGCAUGAGGAGCAAACCAGUACAUAGUGUUCCUUCAUGGCCUCUGCUUCAGUUUCUGCCCCAGCUUCUGCCUUGACUUCCUUGGAUGAUGAUGGACUGUAAGCUGUGAACUGAAAUGCAUCCUUUCUUCCCCAAGUUGAUUUUUUUUUUUUUUUUUGGUCAUGGUGUUUUAUCAUAGUAACAGAAAGCAAACUGCAAUACUACGGGAACCAUGUUCGCUGAGUUCUGGUUUAGACCUGAAUUUCCAAAUACUCUUUUGAAAUAGUGAAAGCAACACUACCCUGACAGAAUGGUGCCCAGAAAUAGAUCCUUCGGUAGCAAAGACUGAAUCUGACACUCUUGGAUGGGAGUCAGGCUGACACAGAAUCAACCAGUCAAGCAUUUCUGAAGCCAAAAUUCAGGAUAUGCACAUGAAAUACUUUUUAUUGCAUCAAAAAAUGAAGAGACGAACAAGAUACCCCUUUAUUUUGUUCAAAUGUGACGUUAACUUCUGUCUGCUCUUACUCGGUUCCGCAGUGUUGUACGUAAGCUGACAAUUAGUCUCCUCAGUCACUGGUGUACUUCACUUUCCAAUGGAGAGCACAGGUGCCCAUGAUAUUAAUACUUGGAAGUAUAUAGUGCUGUAAUGUCAAGUAUAGAGGUGUCACGGGGCUACUAACUUCCAGGUCUAUUUCAUCUUGCAAAGCCUAGAACUUCCAUUUCCCAUUUUCUUCUCCCCAGGGAGCUGCAAUUUCUCUUUCUGUUUCUGUGAUUUUGACUAUUUUGGGUACCGCAAGUAAAUAAGAUCAUGACUUAGCACGUUAUCUUCAAGGCUUAUUCAUACUGAAACACAGAUUAGAAUUCUCGUCAUGUUUCAAGAAGAGUCAAAUUCUAUGGCCUGAAUAGGUUAUGUGCUUUCUUUUCUUUAAUAUUUUGUGUGUGUGUGUGUGUGUGUGUGUGUGUGUGUGUGUGUGUGUGUGUGUGUGCAUACUGGGAGGUGUGCAUUCCAUAUGCAUGGAGGUGAGAGAACAAUUGUAUGUAAAAUAAUAAUCUUACUUUUAUGUGGUCCCGGGGAUCAAAUUCAGAUUGCCAGGCUUGUACCAGAGCCUUGCACUAUAAGUCAUUUGGCCCUAGGUGACAUUUUAUUUAGCCAUUGAUUCUUCUAAGCACAUAGAUUGAUUCCACUGUUUGCAUUGAGUAGGGGACCUCUCUCCCUCCUCUCUCUCCAUAGAAAUAUUUUUGAGAUUAUAUAACCACAUUUCUCUCUUCCCCUUCCUCUCUCCACUUACCCGAUUUCUUUCAAAUUUGUGAUCUAUUUUUCAUUGUCAUUGAUACCUAUAUGCACAUGUAUGUGUAUGUUUAUUUGUAUUUGUACAUGAAUAUAUAUGUGUAAGUGCAUGUAUCAUAUAUUAUAUGUACAUAUGUACAUACGUGUGUAUGUGUGUGUAUAUUCCUAAAUGUAACCUGCUCAGUUUACAUAUGUUACUUGUAUGUUUUCAGGGUUGAUCAUUUGAUUUAGGGCUGCUGUUGUAUGUGCUUUUCCCUGGGGAAGACUAUUUAUCCCACUCUCAGCAUUCCUUAGUUGCUUAUAGUUCUUUAUAGAGGGUUGAAGCCUUUUGGUCUUUUCCUCGCAGAGAAUAUUUCUUGAAAUAGUGAUCAUAGUAGCAUAGUAAUUAUAAUAAUUUUAUAGAUGAACUGAAACAUGAUCUUUUGUUAUAAAGUUCAUUUGAAUUUUUCACAAAUACUUUAUUUUUUACUUUAUUAUCAAUUAAAAAUGUUUUUAAAAUGGAAAGGACUUAGAAGUCAUCUUAGAUCUCAUUGCAUGACUCUGGUAAUUCUUAUUGGCAUACAUGUGAACUUGUGCAGAUCAUUCUGCCUCAGUCUCCUGAGAACUAGAAUUACAGGCAUGUACAGUCACACCCGACCACUAGUUGUGUGUAUUUGGGGUAUGACAUGCUAAUUUCUUGACUUAUGUAUGUAAUGUACAUGGAUCAAAUGAAGCUAAUUAGUAUUUUCAUUACUUUAUUUAUUAUUUAUGUUUUGAACUCCAAAAAUUCUAUUUUCUUGUUGAAUAAUAAAUUAUUAAAAACUAUAUUCUCCCUACUGUGCUGUAGCCCACUGGAGCCUACGUCUCUCAUGUAACUGUAUUUUUAAGAUUCUUGUUACUCAGUCUUCCUCUUUACCCUCUCUGGUCUCUGAGCCCAUGUCUUUAGCUUUCACAUAUGAACAAGAAUAUGAAUUAUUGGUCUUGCCAUAGCUGGUUUAUUUCACUCCACUUUGUAGCAAAUGGCAUGAUUUUAUUUUUUAUUGUGGGAUAAUAUUUAAUUGGGUAUAUUUCUAACAUUUUAAUAUUAUCAAUCCAUAUGUUGACAAAUACUUUGGACGAUGUCAUGGUUUGGCUCUUGAGAGUAGUGCUUGUAUCACCACGGAAGCACGUGUGCCUCACUGGUGCAACGACUUUGCCUCUUUUGGGCGCACAUCAGUGGUGGGUUUCCUAGGCAACAUAUUAUUGUGUUCGUACGUGAGGCACCACACUGUUUCCAACAGUGAAUGGGUUUCCUUUCCUUCUUAUCCUUAUCUGUUUUCUUAGUAAAGUUAUUAUAAACGAGACGAGACGACUGCUGUCCCAUUUUGUUUUGCAUUUCCUGAUGGUUGCCGGUGCUGAGCAUUUUGUAUCUUACAUAUUUGCAUAUCCAUUUUUGAGAAAAUGUCUGUUUCCAUUAUUUGGCCAUUUUAAUGGGAUUAUUUGGGGUAUUCUGCUGUUGAGAUUUUUUAGUUCUUUGCAUAUUACUCCUUCAUCUGAUCAAUAGUUUAUAAAUAUUUUCCUCUUUUCUGUUGCCUAACUAUUCUGCUGUCAACUACUGGUUGACUAUUUUCUUUGCAUUGAAGACACUUCUUAGUUUGACUUAAUCCUAUUUUCAUAAUUGCUUUAACUAUAGCUUAAUGACUAAAGGCUGGGUACUUUAUAAAGAAAAGAGGUUUAUUUAGCUCAUAGUUUUGAAAGGUCGAGGAUAUCAGUUUGCUCCGUUCUGCGGAAAAUUUCAUGGUGGAUGGUGUCAUUAAGGUGGGAAUUUGUGCAAGAAGGAGAAAUCACAUCACUAGACAGGAAGCCAAAGGGGAGUGUCCAGGCUUGUUGCUUUAUGACAACCUUCUCACAAGGAUUAGUUUACUGUCCUAAGAGGACAUUGCCAAUUCCUUUGAGGAAUGUGCUGCCAGUGAUUCAAGGGCCCCACAAAAGAUCCCUCAUCCCCCAACAUCACCACAUUAAGAACAAUUUCUCAACUGCUGUAACUCCAUGGGACAAAUCACACCCAAACUCUAGCAAAGUCUCUUUUGUCUGGUUUUGCUUUUAUUGAGCUUUUGCUCAUAGGGUCUCCUCUCACUAUAUCUUCUACCAGUGUCCUAAAUUGUUUCUCUUAUAUUUCAUCCAGUAGUUUUGUGAUGAUUGCUUUAAAUGACAGAUUUAUAAAGUAGCUUUUCCUU